CGGCCAUCCUGCUUGGCCAGCUGAAGGUUUGAGACUCAGGAUGGGGUCAUGGCUGAGACUAUGAGGGCUGCUCGUGCAUGACCCUGCCUGCUGGCCUCCAUGGGCCCACUAUCUGAAUGUGGUUACCCUUCUCCCCAGGACCAGGUGCCACCUCCUCUGGGAAGCUUUCCCUGCCCGUCCACAGGGUAUGCCUCCUUGUUCCUCUCCUGCCAUCGGUUUACGUGCCUGUCUCCAUCAACAGACCAGGAGCUCCUGAGGACAGGGACUGAGUCUGCCUGAUUCAUCUCUGCAUUCCUAGCACUUACCUUGGUGCUUAGUGAAAGCUCGAACCUGCCUGGGUUCCCACCUUGUCUCUGCUACCCCCAGCUCUGUGAACUCAGAGUCAUUUUUCUCUCCCCGAGUGGCACCGGGCUCAGCAGACACUCUGGCCAUGAAGGCAUCUUCUGACUCAAGCAGGCUGGAGUGCAAUGGCGUGAUCUCGGCUCACUGCAACCUCUGCCUCCCAGGUUCAAGCAAUUCUCCUGCCUCAGCCUCCCGAGUAGCUGGGAUUAUAGGCAUGCACCACCACGCCCAGAGCCAACUACUAAGCCUGUAGCAGCCUCCCAAACUGCCCAGUCUUGUUCAGAUGCACCUCCAGAAACACAGGGGUCCAAAAUGCCCCUUCCCAGACACCCUGAGGAGUAGAACAGUGCCAGCAGGCUCCAGGGAUGAGGGACUAGCUACCACAUUCCCUUUCCCAAGCCUCAGUUUCCCCACCUGUAAGAUGAGGGAUAUGGGCUCUGACUUUCUGAGUUUGGAAAAUAAAGUGCUCCCCAAACUGGG
rnacentral:lncRNA from 1 species